rnacentral:rRNA from 1 species
GCUUAACACAUGCAAGUCGAGGGGCAUCAGUUUGGUUUGCUUGCAAACCAAAGCUGGCGACCGGCGCACGGGUGAGUAACACGUAUCCAACCUGCCUCAUACUCGGGGAUAGCCUUUCGAAAGAAAGAUUAAUAUCCGAUAGCAUAUAUUUCCCGCAUGGGUUUUAUAUUAAAGAAAUUCGGUAUGAGAUGGGGAUGCGUUCCAUUAGUUUGUUGGGGGGGUAACGGCCCACCAAGACUACGAUGGAUAGGGGUUCUGAGAGGAAGGUCCCCCACAUUGGAACUGAGACACGGUCCAAACUCCUACGGGAGGCAGCAGUGAGGAAUAUUGGUCAAUGGACGCGAGUCUGAACCAGCCAAGUAGCGUGAAGGAUGACUGCCCUAUGGGUUGUAAACUUCUUUUAUAUGGGAAUAAAGUGGUCCACGUGUGGACUUUUGUAUGUACCAUAUGAAUAAGGAUCGGCUAACUCCGUGCCAGCAGCCGCGGUAAUACGGAGGAUCCGAGCGUUAUCCGGAUUUAUUGGGUUUAAAGGGAGCGUAGGCGGAUUGUUAAGUCAGUUGUGAAAGUUUGCGGCUCAACCGUAAAAUUGCAGUUGAUACUGGCAGUCUUGAGUGCAGUAGAGGUGGGCGGAAUUCGUGGUGUAGCGGUGAAAUGCUUAGAUAUCACGAAGAACUCCGAUUGCGAAG